UACGUAGGGUGCAAGCGUUGUCCGGAAUUAUUGGGCGUAAAGAGCUCGUAGGUGGCGGGUCACGUCGGGUGUGAAAGCCCGGGGCUUAACCCCGGGUCUGCAUUCGAUACGGGUCUGCUGGGGCCGGCAGGGGAGACUGGAAUUCCUGGUGUAGCGGUGAAAUGCGCAGAUAUCAGGAGGAACACCGGUGGCGAAGGCGGGGUCUCUGGGCCGUAACUGACGCUGAGGAGCGAAAGCAUGGGGUAGCGAACAGG
rnacentral:rRNA from 1 species